rnacentral:lncRNA from 1 species
AAGUAUCCCAUAUCAUCAAGGUCGAACGCAUUCUUGAUUUGAUGGACUUGUUUUGACCCUCAAAUUCUUGAGUCAGCCUUAUACUCUGGAGGAAACCAGAAAACCCUUCAGCCCAGUUCAAGAAUAAGCCUGUGGAAAGUUACUUCUUCAAAAACAAAAGUAUCUCAUAUCAUCUCUUCUCCAUUUGCUUCUCCUUAUCCUUGUUGCUAUUUACGACACAAGGAGAAGGAGAACAAUCAACCGGAAGCCGAAGUCGAACCUUCGAUCCAGGUUGCUUACUUGGAAG